rnacentral:rRNA from 1 species
AAACCGCGAGGUGGAGCAAAACUUCAAAAAUGGUCUCAGUUCGGACUGUAGGCUGCAACUCGCCUACACGAAGUUGGAAUUGCUAGUAAUCGUGGAUCAGCAUGCCACGGUGAAUACGUUCCCGGGUCUUGUACACACCGCCCGUCACACCAUGGGAGUCGGUAACACCCGAAGUCAGUAGUCUAACCGCAAGGAGGACGCUGCCGAAGGUGGGAUUGACGACUGGGGUGAAGUCGUAACAAGGUACC